UAGCAUAAUAAUUUGGUUUUUAAUUGGGAUCUGGGAUGAAUGGUUUUACAGUGGUUAUUGUCUUGGUUUUAUAGUUUGAAUUUAUAUUUUAGAUUAAAAUAUUUAAAUAUAAUUAAGGGACGAUAAGACCCUAAAAGCUUUACUAAUAUUUGAUGGUUUAGAUUUUUUAAAUAAUUUGAUUAACUGGGGUAGUUGUUUUAUAUAAACUAAUAUUUAAUAAAACUAAAGGUUUAUGGUCCUUAAAAUUAAGAUACUUAGAAGUAGUUACUUUAGGGUUAACAGCGUAAUAAUUUUGGAGAGAUCUUAUCUAUAAGGUUGAUUGCGACCUCGAUGUUGAAUUAAAGUAAACCAUAGUGCAGAAUAGAUGGGGAUAGGUUUGUUCAGCC
rnacentral:rRNA from 1 species